GAAGUGGGGAUGACGUCAAAUCAUCAUGCCCUUAUGACCUGGGCUACACACGUGCUACGAAUGGUUGGUACAACGAGUUGCGAGUCGGUGACGGCGAGCUAAUCUCUUAAAGCCAAUCUCAGUUCGGAUUGUAGGCUGCAACUCGCCUACAUGAAGUCGGAAUCGCUAGUAAUCGCGGAUCAGCACGCCGCGGUGAAUACGUUCCCGGGCCUU
rnacentral:rRNA from 1 species